UACGGAGGGUGCGAGCGUUGUCCGGAAUCACUGGGCGUAAAGGGCGCGUAGGCGGCGCGGGAAGUCCGUGGUGAAAGCCCGAGGCUCAACUUCGGGUCGGCCAUGGAUACUCCUGGGCUUGAGCACUGUAGAGGCGGGUGGAAUUCCGGGUGUAGCGGUGGAAUGCGUAGAGAUCCGGAAGAACACCAGUGGCGAAGGCGGCCCGCUGGGCAGUGGCUGACGCUGAGGCGCGACAGCGUGGGGAGCAAACAGG
rnacentral:rRNA from 1 species